rnacentral:rRNA from 1 species
AUUGAACGCUGGCGGAAUGCUUUACACAUGCAAGUCGAACGGCAGCACGGGGGCAGCCCUGGUGGCGAGUGGCGAACGGGUGAGUAAUACAUCGGAACGUGCCCGGUCGUGGGGGAUAACGUAGCGAAAGUUACGCUAAUACCGCAUACGAUCUGAGGAUGAAAGCGGGGGACCUUCGGGCCUCGCGCGAUCGUAGCGGCCGAUGUCAGAUUAGGUAGUUGGUGGGGUAAAGGCCUACCAAGCCGACGAUCUGUAGCUGGUCUGAGAGGACGACCAGCCACACUGGGAGUGAGACACGGCCCAGGCUCCUGCGGGAGGCAGCAGUGGGGAAUUUUGGACAAUGGGCGCAAGCCUGAUCCAGCCAUUCCGCGUGCAGGACGAAGGCCUUCGGGUUGUAAACUGCUUUUGUACGGAACGAAAAGGCUCUGGCUAAUACCUGGGGCUCAUGACGGUACCGUAAGAAUAAGCACCGGCUAACUACGUG